UGGGGAAUAUUGCACAAUGGGCGAAAGCCUGAUGCAGCGACGCCGCGUGAGGGAUGACGGCCUUCGGGUUGUAAACCUCUUUCAGCAGGGACGAAGCGCAAGUGACGGUACCUGCAGAAGAAGCACCGGCUAACUACGUGCCAGCAGCCGCGGUAAUACGUAGGGUGCAAGCGUUGUCCGGAAUUACUGGGCGUAAAGAGUUCGUAGGCGGUUUGUCGCGUCGUUUGUGAAAACCAGCAGCUCAACUGCUGGCUUGCAGGCGAUACGGGCAGACUUGAGUACUGCAGGGGAGACUGGAAUUCCUGGUGUAGCGGUGAAAUGCGCAGAUAUCAGGAGGAACACCGGUGGCGGAGGCGGGUCUCUGGGCAGUAACUGACGCUGAGGAACGAAAGCGUGGGUAGCGAACAGG
rnacentral:rRNA from 1 species